UUUUGCACACAUCUUUCAUAGGAAGAAGGAAAGUUGUUAUUUCCGCUAGACUAAUUUCUCAUGGCUGACAUCGAGGAGUAUGAGAAAGAUGAACCUGAAACCAUCGAGGAUGGAAACCAAAGUUUAAUACAAAAAUUGUGGUUACUUUUCCCAGAAAGUUUUCGUAAUGUUUCUUAUGUUGUGUUUACUCAGACUUGCAAUGCAUUUAAAGCAUUUUAUAAUUUUGGACGAACUGCUACAUGGUUGUUUUUUAGCACAUCUAUACUUAUUUUCAUUCCUGUUAUACUUGAAGUGGAAAGAGCUGAAAUUGAAAAUGAACAACGAAGACAUCAGAGUCAGGUGCUGUUCUAAAGUAUUAAAAAGACAGAAGGGAAAAUCAAACAAAAUUAAUCACAAAAGUUUAUAUCAAUGGUUUACACAUGUCCUCAAAAAAUUAAGAACACAGGUUCUUUAUCUCUGUAUCAUAUGAAAGAACAGUGAAGAAGAUGGACAUCAGUACCUUCUACUAAGCAAAAGCUUUUAUUUGGAUCAAAUUCUCCUGUGACACAAUUUGUGUCAUCAAUGCAGCGAUUUGAAGACUGAAAAGCACUUCAGCAGUCUCUCCUUGGAAACAAAAUUUAUUUAUUGAUGUGUUCAGUUAGUUUUGUUUUAAUGGUUGCUGUUUAUUUUCUAAAAGACCUUUUUCUGAGAUUGUAAAACACAUUAGAAAGUAUCAUUUGGUUGUUUCUUAAAUGCUUAUGGGUUCAUGCCUUGUUAAAUAAAUUUGUGAAGGGUAGUGGAAAGUAAGGUAUUUUCUUUGUCCUGUUGUUUAAGAGAAUGUGAAUGUGCAAUUUCCUAAAAAGUAUAA